GAUGAACGCUGGCGGCGUGCCUAAUACAUGCAAGUCGAGCGAACAGACGAGGAGCUUGCUCCUUCGACGUUAGCGGCGGACGGGUGAGUAACACGUAGGUAACCUACCUAUAAGACUGGGAUAACUUUGGGAAACCGGAGCUAAUACCGGAUAAUAUUUCGAACCGCAUGGUUCGAUAGUGAAAGAUGGCUUUGCUAUCACUUAUAGAUGGACCUGCGCCGUAUUAGCUAGUUGGUAAGGUAACGGCUUACCAAGGCAACGAUACGUAGCCGACCUGAGAGGGUGAUCGGCCACACUGGAACUGAGACACGGUCCAGACUCCUACGGGAGGCAGCAGUAGGGAAUCUUCCGCAAUGGGCGAAAGCCUGACGGAGCAACGCCGCGUGAGUGAUGAAGGUCUUCGGAUCGUAAAACUCUGUUAUUAGGGAAGAACAAACGUGUAAGUAACUGUGCACGUCUUGACGGUACCUAAUCAGAAAGCCACGGCUAACUACGUG
rnacentral:rRNA from 1 species